GAUGAACGCUGGCGGCGUGCCUAAUACAUGCAAGUCGAGCGAACGGACGAGAAGCUUGCUUCUCUGAUGUUAGCGGCGGACGGGUGAGUAACACGUGGAUAACCUACCUAUAAGACUUGGAUAACUUCGUGAAACCGGAGCUAAUACCGGAUAAUAUUUUGAACCGCAUGGUUCAAAAGUGAAAGACGGUCUUGCUGUCACUUAUAGACGGAUCCGCGCUGCAUUAUCUAGUUGGUAAGGUAACGGCUUACCAAGGCAACGAUGCAUAGCCGACCUGAGAGGGUGAUCGGCCACACUGGAACUGAGGCACGGUCCAGACUCCUACGGGAGGCAGCAGUAGGGAAUCUUCCGCAAUGGGCGAAAGCCUGACGGAGCAACGCCGCGUGAGUGAUGAAGGUCUUCGGAUCGUAAAACUCUGUUAUUAGGGAAGAACAUAUGUGUAAGUAACUGUGCACAUCUUGACGGUACCUAAUCAGAAAGCCACGGCUAACUACGUG
rnacentral:rRNA from 1 species